ACGACUUGCAUUUCGUGGGUUUGCGUGUACACCCUGGACAGGCCAGUAACUCCCAAGGUCUCCAUUUAGAGCAAACCACUGAUUUCACAUUCACGCCAAUGGGGAAAUGUCUUAAAUUCACCUAAAAUACACGUUUGUAAUUAUGUAUAAA